AACGCACAUUGCGCCCAUCAGUACUCUGGUGGGCAUGCCUGUUCGAGCGUCAUUUCAACCCUCAGGCCCUGUAUUGCCUGGCGUUGGGGCCUAUCUGUGAUCCCCUCCGGGGGGUCACAGGCCCCCAAGAUCAGUGGCGGGUCCGCCGUGGCUCCGAGCGUAGUAGUUUACUCCCUCGCUUAGGACUGUCCGGCGGCUCCCAGCCGUCAAACAUCGCUGCUCACAGCGAUAUUUUUACAAGGUUGACCUCGGAUCAGGUAGGAAUACCCGCUGAACUUAA
rnacentral:misc_RNA from 1 species